CAGAAACUUAAAUGAAUUGACGGGGCCCGCACAAGCGGUGGAGUAUGUGGUUUAAUUCGAUGCAACGCGAAGAACCUUACCUGGUCUUGACAUCCCGGAGACCCUUAGGAAACUAGGGGGUGCUUCCAUCUGGAAGAAUCUGGAGACAGGUGCUGCAUGGCUGUCGUCAGCUCGUGUCGUGAGAUGUUGGGUUAAGUCCCGCAACGAGCGCAACCCUUGCCUUUAGUUGCCAGCAGUUCGGCUGGGCACUCUAAAGGGACUGCCGGUGUUAAACCGGAGGAAGGUGGGGAUGACGUCAAGUCCUCAUGGCCUUUAUGACCAGGGCUACACACGUACUACAAUGGCCGAUACAAAGGGCAGCGACACUGCGAGGUGAAGCCAAUCCCGUAAAAUCGGUCUCAGUCCGGAUUGGAGUCUGCAACUCGACUCCAUGAAGUUGGAAUCGCUAGUAAUCGUGGAUCAGCAUGCCACGGUGAAUACGUUCCCGGGCCUU
rnacentral:rRNA from 1 species